rnacentral:rRNA from 1 species
CAGCAUAUCAAUAAGCGGAGGAAAAGAAACCAACAGGGAUUGCCCCAGUAACGGCGAGUGAAGCGGCAACAGCUCAAAUUUGAAAUCUGGCCCUCGGGUCCGAGUUGUAAUUUGUAGAGGAUGCUUUUGGUGAGGUGCCUUCCGAGUUCCCUGGAACGGGACGCCAUAGAGGGUGAGAGCCCCGUCUGGUUGGACACCGAGCCUCUGUAAAGCUCCUUCGACGAGUCGAGUAGUUUGGGAAUGCUGCUCUAAAUGGGAGGUAUAUGUCUUCUAAAGCUAAAUACCGGCCAGAGACCGAUAGCGCACAAGUAGAGUGAUCGAAAGAUGAAAAGCACUUUGAAAAGAGGGUUAAAUAGUACGUGAAAUUGUUGAAAGGGAAGCGCUUGUGACCAGACUUGAGCCCGGUUAAUCAUCCAGCCUUCUGGCUGGUGCACUUGGCCGGCUCAGGCCAGCAUCAGUUCGGCGCGGGGGAUAAAGGCUUCGGGAAUGUGGCUCCUCCGGGAGUGUUAUAGCCCGUUGUGUAAUACCCUGUACUGGACUGAGGUUCGCGCAUCUGCAAGGAUGCUGGCGUAAUGGUCAUCAGCGACCCGUCUUGAAACACGGACCAAGGAGUCGUCCUCGUAUGCGAGUGUUCGGGUGUCAAACCCCUACGCGUAAUGAAAGUGAACGCAGGUGAGAGCUUCGGCGCAUCAUCGACCGAUCCUGAUGUUCUCGGACGGAUUUGAGUAAGAGCAUACGGGGCCGGACCCGAAAGAAGGUGAACUAUGCCUGUAUAGGGUGAAGCCAGAGGAAACUCUGGUGGAGGCUCGCAGCGGUUCUGACGUGCAAAUCGAUCGUCAAAUAUGGGCAUGGGGGCGAAAGACUAAUCGAACCUUCUAGUAGCUGGUUUCCCCA